rnacentral:rRNA from 1 species
GGGUCAGUAGGUCGGUCGUGCCACUGGUAUGAACUGGUUUUACUGAUUCCUCCCUCUUGAAGAAUUGUAAUGCCAUUAAUUUGGUGUUGCAGGGAAUCAGGACUGUUACUUUGAAAAAAUUAGAGUGUUUAAAGCAAGCUAACGCUUGAAUACAUUAGCAUGGAAUAAUGAAAUAGGACGUUCGAUCCUAUUUUGUUGGUUUCUAGGAUCACCGUA